UCGUCAUUUGUGUUCUAAGUAGAAAAUUGUGAUAUUGAAAAAUAGAAAAUUGUUGAUUAAGUUGGAUACCUCUAGUAAUUCUCUUAGAUUCUGCCAUUGGAGCGUGAUUUAGAGUUUAUCGAAUCCUAAACGUGAUUUCAACUACAGACAACAAUUUUAAACAAAAAUAAAAUCAUAAAAUAAAUCUUAAAAAACGAAUAAAGAUGCAUACCUCAAUAAAAGGGAUUGUGUGAAUAUCUUUAUAAAUAUAUUUUUCAAUUUCUGGAAAAAAAAAAGGAAGAGAGGCAGAUUUUGAAAUGGAGAAGAAUUGGAAGAUGUAAAUAUGUUGCAAAAAAAGAAAAAGAAAAAAAGAAGAAGAUGAAAAUAUGAGAGAGAGAAAAUAUUCCCUUUAUUUUAAACAUCUGAUAGAGGAUUAAUUGGGAAAUGUGUAAUUAAGGUAAGAUAAAAUAGGAAGUAAAUUAGGAUACACAAGCUUUUCUAAAAUAAUGACAUUUUGACAUUUUUAUUAAUAUUUAUAAAGUAUGAAGGUUUUUACUAAUUAAGUUAACUUUUUGACUAGUUUGCUAAUUUUUCCAUAAAGAAGGUACUAAAAAAGAACUGGAAGUAAGAGAACCCAGCAAAAAGCCCAUGUUGAACUAUGAAUACUCCUUAGUGGAGCUUUUGCUUGCUUCAGCUGUGCCUUAACUCGAUCUAUGUAAUAUUAAUCCAACUAAUGCCAGAGACCUGGCCUCAUGUCCAAUGACAGUUCUUAAUCACUAGACAUAUCUCAUGGAUUUUGGAUUCCAGAUGGCCAGAGGGUUGAGUUGAUAGCAUAGGAUUGUAAAUAUUCAAGUUACAGACUUACAGUAACAACCAAAGCUGAGAGCGCCUUUAGGCAUCAAGUGCAGUAAGAAUCAGAGGAACAGCAGAAGCAUAUUAAAGUACUCAAGAACAUUUAAGCAAGAAAUGAAGAUCAUCUGGUGUAAAAUAAGGAGUAUUUGAAUUCUGCAUUACAGAUAAGCAAUGACAUUUGGGAUCAAAUAACUCAAAAGGGGAAAACACAUUUGCUUAGCACUCAAAUAAGACAAUGCCAACAAUGGGCAUUUGGUCUAGUGGUAUGAUUCUCGCUUUGGGUGCGAGAGGUCCCGAGUUCGAUUCUCGGAAUGCCCCAAAUUUUUAAGUGCCUUUUUUCAAGCCUGUACUCCUGAUGGUUAUAAAGGAUUUGAAGGCAAAUGUAGGAUAUCCGUUUAAUACUUUGCUGAACAUUCAAUAGUGAGAUUUGUGUUCUGGAAACUGCAGUAAGCACAUCAUGCAUUUAUGAAUUUGGUAGGAUUCCAAUGAUUAAUGGUUAUUCAUCUUAGACAGUUAAAAUUAAUUAGUUUAGUAAUCCAAACAGUUCUAGAACUGAUUCUUCUUUCUAGUGUAUUUUAGUAAACCACAUAUAUUGCUUGACUUGCACCUCUUUCCAGUCUCCUGUUCAGUAAAUAUUCUGAUGUAAAGUCAGCCAAGUCAAUCAGCCAAAAGUCAUUUUUUUUCAGAUAACAACAUUUAGGCCAAGAUGCAUCCUUAUCAAAUAAAGAAAAUGGAAUGGCAAGAUUUGAUGCUCUGAAAGCUAAUCUUUUCAGAACUACAAGAUAAAAAUAACAAAGCACGAGUGCUGGUAGUAGAUGGAUUUGUGCUCACCUCUCUAGUUUACAAGUAAGCCGAUCGGAACUCCAAAAUUCAACAUAGAAUUACCAAGAAAUCCC
rnacentral:lncRNA from 1 species